rnacentral:sRNA from 1 species
UGUUACACGAAUGAGAGUUGGACAAAGU